UUAGUGAUUUGUAAUAAGGACUCAAGGA
rnacentral:piRNA from 1 species